rnacentral:rRNA from 1 species
UACAGAGGGGGCAAGCGUUAUUCGGAAUUAUUGGGCGUAAAGGGCGCGUAGGCGGCCUGGCAAGUGGAAGGUGAAAUCCCUCGGCUUAACCGAGGAACUGCCUCCCAAACUGCUUGGCUUGAGACCGGGAGAGGUGAGUGGAAUUCCCAGUGUAGCGGUGAAAUGCGUAGAUAUUGGGAGGAACACCAGUGGCGAAGGCGGCUCACUGGACCGGUACUGGCGCUGAGGUGCGAAAGCGUGGGGAGCAAACAGG